rnacentral:lncRNA from 1 species
AUGUGUGCACUUUCUCACGAAAAUACCCAUCUGUUCUCUACAACAAGCUGGCUAAUAUCUUCUCAGCCUUGGGCUCCUGCACUUAUACUUCCCAAGGAAUAUAUAUCUGAGUUAAGAGCUUCCUUUCACAAAAAUCUUGCCUUCCCUCAUACAAGUACCUUCUCACACUACAUCAUAUCAUCUACUUACCUGUCUGUAUCCCACCUAGACUUAAGUACACAAAUGCAGAGUCCAUAUCGAUCUAAUUUUCCUAACAUAUUCCCAUCUUGGCAUAUAAAUGUUGCUCAAGAACCAUUUACUUAAUGAAUGAUAUAAGCUUAGGAGAUGCAGAAACAUGAUGAGUCAGGAAGAAAAUGAAGUUGAAGAAAAUGUCAAGACUCCCAGAGAGAUGUUCUGAACACAGUUGAAAAAAUGGAGCUGGAGUUGGGUUGAGAAGGGUGGGCUAAGGAUACUGAAAACGUAAGACAGGAGGAAUAGAGACUGAGAAAAACACUAAGCCAAGGGCUGAUAAAAGAAACUGAUGGGGUAAAAGAAAGGUGAGAAACAAGCAGAAAGUAGAAAAGGAAUCACUGGAAAUUAAGAGGAACAAAACAGUAGUCAUGUAGAAGCUAAAAAAGACCACUUAAGAAUGGAAGUAGGAACCCGAGUCAAACGCUAAAGUAAGGUCAAGGAAGAUCGAGAGAGUUGCUCCAUGAGCCAUAAGGACUAGGUCUGUUUCACUCAUCUAGGACACAACAGUGUCCAGCACACACGGGAAAUUAAUAAAAAUUAGUUGAAUUAUGGAGUAAAGGACCACUUUUCAAUAGCCGUGGAUUAGAAUGAGCCUAAAUUAUAUCUGCUCAGGGAUCUUGUCCUUAAAUACUCACUAGUCAACACUUAUUUUACAGUUAAAUAAAACUUCCUCUAAUCCUUUGACUUAAUCUUAGUACAUUCUUUUUAAUAUUACUUAUCUGUCCACAGCCUUUUAUUUUUCCCUCCUAACUAAGAAGUGUCAGUACAAGAGGGUUGCCCACUUGAGAGAGCACUGACGAAAGGGCUGCUCAUGCCUCAGCAUCUAACCGGCAUUGUAUAUGACUUGUUCCUCAAACCAGAUCGUCCCCAUUGGUCCUGUAACCCUAACAUUAAAAAGUAAUGUAUUUUAGGCAGCUUAAGUGGUGAACAGAUCAGAUUCUCCUCGCUGUANNNNNNNNNNNNNNNNNNNNNNNNNAUAAAAGAAAAAAAAAAAACCCUGCCAAUGUAAUAAAUCAUCUUAAUAAUUUAGAGCUUGUAUGAGAAGAUUCAUAAAACAAUGACUGUGGCACAGGAUUAUUAAGCCUGAGCAAUUUACUGAUGAAAAGAAGGUUUAAGAGAAUACAGACAUCAUAGGAUGAGAUACACUUAUACUUAUCUGAAGGAAGCAGAAGGAAAGAUAACAGGGGAGAAAGAAAGAUUAUUAAUAUCUGACAUAAUGGAUAUGGGUAUAGGAGGCAGCAGAGGAAGGUUAUGAGUAUGAAUUGAAAGAGAAAGGACAUCGUGGCUGCUAAGGAAG